rnacentral:rRNA from 1 species
AACGUAGGUACCGAGCGUUAUCCGGAUUUACUGGGCGUAAAGCGUGUUCAGGCGGUCUAGCAAGUCGGGCAUGAAAUCUCUCGGCUCAACCGGGAGGGGUUGUCCGAUACUGCUGGGCUUGAGGGCAGCAGAGGGUGGUGGAAUUCCGGGUGUAGUGGUGAAAUGCGUAGAUAUCCGGAGGAACACCAGUGGCGAAGGCGGCUAUCUGGACCGGUACUGACGCUGAGGCGCGAAAGCGUGGGGAGCAAACAGG